rnacentral:tRNA from 1 species
CCUUCAAUAGCUCAGCUGGUAGAGCGGAGGACUGUAGGUCCUUAGGUCACUGGUUUGAUUCCAGCUUGAAGGA